UACGUAGGGUGCAAGCGUUGUCCGGAAUUAUUGGGCGUAAAGAGCUCGUAGGCGGCUUGUCGCGUCGAAUGUGAAAUCUCAGGGCUCAACUCUGACAUUGCAUUCGAUACGGGCAGGCUAGAGUUCGGUAGGGGAGACUGGAAAUCCUGGUGUAGCGGUGAAAUGCGCAGAUAUCAGGAGGAACACCGAUGGCGAAGGCAGGUCUCUGGGCCGAUACUGACGCUGAGGAGCGAAAGCGUGGGGAGCGAACAGG
rnacentral:rRNA from 1 species